rnacentral:misc_RNA from 1 species
GUUACAAUCAAGUAGAUUAUCCAGCUACAAUAUGUUAAAUAACUUAUUGAAUACUCGUUUGCAAUUAUUGUACAAGCCACCAAAAGCCAAAGCAUAUACGUCUCCAACACCAGGGCAAAGCUGUAGAAUGUUUGAUCAAGUGGUGGCUUGGCCAUAAGUUGCCACAAUUGAAACUGCCAGAAGCUACAGUGAUCAUUCAGCUGGGACCAUCCUUUGUUGUUU